rnacentral:lncRNA from 1 species
ACAGGCCCUAAGUCUUUCAGCAUCAUGGAAUUGGAAUCUUUCUGAUCUGAUGUAAUCUCGGACUUAGUUACUAAUCAAACACCAUGCGCUGGAAAAGGAGUCAGCGAGAUGGAGUUCUUUCUGAUAUUUAAAUUUUGUUUUUUUUUCUUCCAUAAUAUUUAUAAACUACCACCGUGGUUUAAACACAAAUUUUGGAUAACAAUUCAAAACUUUGUUAUCAGAUUGCAGUCUUUGCAGUACAUGCUGCAGAUUUCGCAGUUUUGUUCGC